rnacentral:rRNA from 1 species
GUGACCUCAAAUCAGGUAGGACUACCCGCUGAACUUAAGCAUAUCAAUAAGCGGAGGAAAAGAAACUAACAAGGAUUCCCCUAGUAACUGCGAGUGAAGCGGGAAAAGCUCAAAUUUAAAAUCUGGCGGUCUUUUGGCUGUCCGAGUUGUAAUCUAGAGAAGUGUUAUCCGCG